AUUGAACGCUGGCGGCAGGCCUAACACAUGCAAGUCGAACGAGUGGCGGACGGGUGUGUAAUGUCUGUGAAACUGCCCCAUGGAGGGGGAGAACUCCUCUAAACGCUGGCUAAUACCGCAUACCCUCUGAUGUGCCCCCAUGUGAUUAGCUCGUGGGUGGGGUAACGGCUCACCUAGGCGACGAUCCCUAGCUGGUCUGAGAGGAUGACCAGCCACACUGGAACUGAGACACGGUCCAGACUCCUACGGGAGGCAGCAGUGGGGAAUAUUGCACAAUGGGCGCAAGCCUGAUGCAGCCAUGCCGCGUGUAUGAAGAAGGCCUUCGGGUUGUAAAGUACUUUCAGCGGGGAGGCGUUACCCGCAGAAGAAGCACCGGCUAACUCCGUGCCAGCAGCCGCGGUAAUAC
rnacentral:rRNA from 1 species